AGAAGCGUGCCCGAGACAGGGGUUAUUUUGAUGAGAUAAACACAGAGCAACAUACUCUCGCUUCCA
rnacentral:tRNA from 3 species